rnacentral:rRNA from 1 species
UGAGGAAUAUUGCACAAUGGGCGCAAGCCUGAUGCAGCGACGCCGCGUGUGGGAUGAAGGGGCUACGCCUCGUAAACCACUGUAGCCCGGGACGAAAAACGCCUUAGAGGCGUUAGACGGUACCGGGAAAGUAAGGGUCGGCUAACUACGUGCCAGCAGCCGCGGUAAUACGUAGGACCCAAGCGUUGUCCGGAUUUACUGGGUGUAAAGGGUGCGCAGGCGGAUAUAUAAGUCAGUGGUGAAAUCCUGCAGCUUAACUGCAGAACGGCCAUUGAUACUGUAUAUCUUGAAUUGAGUGGGAGUGGGCGGAAUAUGACAUGUAGCGGUGAAAUGCAUAGAUAUGUCAUAGAACACCGAAAGCGAAGGCAGCUCACUAUACUUAAAUUGACGCUCAUGGACGAAAGCGUGGGGAGCAAACA